rnacentral:SRP_RNA from 2 species
GCCGGGUGUGGUGGUGCACACCUGUAAUCCCAGCUACUGGGGAGGCUGAGGCAGGAGAAUCGCUUGAACCCGGGAGGCAGAGGUUGCAGUGAGCCGAGAUCACACCACUGCCCUCCAGCCUGGGCGACAGAGCGAGACUCCGUCUCAA